UCAGGCCUAACACAUGCAAGUCGAGGGGUAUAGUAGCAAUACUAGAGACCGGCGCACGGGUGCGUAACGCGUAUGCAAUCUACCUUUUACAGGGGAAUAGCCCAGAGAAAUUUGGAUUAAUGCCUCAUAGGAUAUAGGAAUCGCAUGGUUUUUAUAUUAAAGUUCCAACGGUAAAAGAUGAGCAUGCGUCCCAUUAGUUAGUUGGUAAGGUAACGGCUUACCAAGACGAUGAUGGGUAGGGGUCCUGAGAGGGGGAUCCCCCACACUGGUACUGAGACACGGACCAGACUCCUACGGGAGGCAGCAGUGAGGAAUAUUGGACAAUGGGCGCAAGCCUGAUCCAGCCAUGCCGCGUGCAGGAAGACGGUCCUAUGGAUUUAAGCUGCUUUUAUACAGGAAGAAACACCGCUACGAGUA
rnacentral:rRNA from 1 species